rnacentral:rRNA from 1 species
UACGGGGGAGCAAGCGUUGUUCGGAUUUACUGGGCGUAAAGGGCGCGUAGGCGGUCAGCACAAGUCAGUUGUGAAAUCUCCGGGCUUAACUCGGAAAGGUCAACUGAUACUGUGCGACUAGAGUGCGGAAGGGGCAACUGGAAUUCUUGGUGUAGCGGUGAAAUGCGUAGAUAUCAAGAGGAACACCUGCGGCGAAGGCGGGUUGCUGGGCCGACACUGACGCUGAUGCGCGAAAGCUAGGGGAGCGAACGGG